ensembl:lncRNA
GGAGAAGAGGAGGCUCAGGGGAGACCUGGUCGCUCUCUGCAACUGCCUGAAAGAAGGCUGUGGUGAGGUGUGGGUCGGCCUCUUCUCCCAGGUAACAGUGAUGGGAAGAGAGGGAAUGGCCUCAAGUUGCACCAGGGGAGGUUCAGGUUGGGUAUCAGGAAGAAUUUCUUCUCACAAAGAGCGGUGAGGCAGUGGCACAGCUGCCCAGGGAGGUGGUGCAGUCGCUGUUCCUGGAGGUGUUUAAGAGCCGUGUGGAUGUGGCACUGAGGGCUGUGGUCAGAGAUACAAAGCUGCGUGUUUACAAAGACUGCAAUAAAAACCCUCCUUUCCCCACGUUUUUUGCUGAUGGAGAUGAAAAACUACCAGAAGACUUGUAUGACCAGGACAUGUUCCAGUUCACAGAUCCAUCGGUCACAUAUGCAUAAUGUUUUUGACACCUUUGAAAACGCAGAAUUUUGUUAUUUUCAUCAACUUUGCAAUGCUGUAUAAAAGUAAACCAAUGAAUUGCAAUCCGACCAACUGACCCGGACAUUUCAUAUAGUGCUGUUUUGGUCAGGUAAAAACUUAAGACUAUUGAUAAUUCAGCAGGUGACAGGCUGCAAAGCUUAUCACCUGUUUGUCUUCAGUGAUCUUUUGUCCUGUGCCACAGACUGUGAAAACUGUCACAUUUCUGGAAACAAUUGGAGAUGGCCUUAGUUUGAUCUUCUGAAUACUACCAAACUGGUUUUGUCCUCUGUGGAAACUAAUCUGGCCAACUCUGAUCAGUCAAAAAAAACCUUUCCGAUGUGCUUUAGCAUCUGAGGGGGUGAAUAAAUCGGAUGCAAAUCCAACUUAGUAAAGAAUAGUUCAGAAUAAAAAGGGAAAAUAUAUUGAUCUGUAGCAACCUGGGCUUGUUUUAUUUCCUUCUUUUCAUCAGAGCAAUUUCCUUUCGCUUUAAUGUUGUUCUGAGUUGAAUUAGCAGAUACCCAUCAAGUUUCAUAGAGGAGGGAUCAUGUCAACCAUUGUCUGUCUCUUCAGAGAGCGCCUACAGUGUGUAUGGUAAGGAGCUGUUCAGGUGGGAAACGCUCAGUAACAAAGAAUCACUAAGACUGCAGUGGCCACCUGUUGGCCACUUUCACUGAUAGCUUCUUCACAGAGGCUCCCUUGCAUGUUCUCUGGAGUCACAUCACUGCAUCUACAGUUGUCUCUGCCUUGGAUUCUUGUGGUGUUACGGGAGAGCCUUCAUAAAACAGGUCGAAUGUGAAGGAUUUCUCUUUAUGCUAAUGAUUAUUUUUCUCCUACUCUACCUUUUAAUAGUGGGCUUCUGUACACUCCUUUUAUUCUUCAUGUGAUUUUCUGUUUAUAAGUCUGGUCUUCUGGACGCUGUAAAUCCUCUCAUGUACAGAAGCAGGUGUCUGUGUAACUGUCAGGGUGCCAUCUGAACGUUUAUUUACAAGCCCUACAGUAGUUAAAGAAUGUACAUCUCUUGAGCUACUAUUAAUAUUUUAGUAGUGCUGUCUGUUCAUCUUUGCAGCUUCAUCGCAAGAUGUCACAUACCUUAAAAAAAUCCUUACUGAUACCAAUAUAAAAGGGAUGUUCUUGUCUUUAUGAAAUCUCUGCCAGUCCCUGAGGUUAUUUUGAAUUUUUUGUAAUAGCUUGAAGAAAUCCCAUGCUAUCUUAAAAGAGGCUUUAUAUAGCUACAGCAUUGAAGUAGUCUGAGAGAGAUCAUUGGAGACCGAGGUAUGAAAAUGUGAUCAGGUAAAUGUCUACAUCCUGGCAAUACUCUCUUAGUUGGAUUCAGCCAAAUUUAAAAUCAAAUAUCUGAUUUAAUCAGCAUACACAAUAACAGCAUUCCCCUUCUGCUGCCCCUUCAGUAACAGUGGCUCUGCAAGUACAGGCAUCUCACAGCACAUGUGAUGCAAUAACCCAUACAGUGUAGCAAACAAGCAGCAGUAUGCAAUGUUUUGGCUGCAAUGCUAGCAGUGAGUGCAGUCUGUCACACGUACAGGAUAGUUGUUAUUUCCUGAAGAGAUCUUUGAUCUUCCAUUUCCUGAUAAUGCAGCAGAGUUUAGAAGUUGCAGCAUUUCAAUACUUGCUGUCAAACAUGUGUAGAUCAGGAGCUUUCCAACUGCCUAGUUUGUGUCCUGCUCUGGUUAACAAAAUAAUUCUGGUGCACACAAACUCUGCAUGAGGAGAUCACUUCAUGCCUGUAUGGAAACAGCAUAGCAAGUACAGGAGAGCUGUGAGUAUCGUGCAGGACGCUGUUGGGCUGGGCUUGCACUGCUGCUAAAAAGGGGAGGAGGGAGGUGGUAGGGAGCUGCUUGCCUGGGGCGGGAGUCAAAGCCCUGGAGCUACUCCUGGGAGCUGCUUAAUAAGUCUCCAGGGUGUCAUUCAGUUGGUUUGUACUUACGUUUUGUUUGUUGGUUUGUUUUUACUUGGACUUUACCCUGGACUGUCAGUGAUGAGAUCAUGACACAGAAAUAUACGUUCUCCUACUUAGUUCCUCAGCCAAAGGUUCCAGGACUGUGAGAUUCUCUCCAGUACUUCCUUAUAUUUUGAAUGAGCUUUCAGUGCUUGCCUUGGUAAACACCAAGGAUCAAAUGUGAGCUUAAAGGGUACCAUAGAUUUAGAAAAAUAAAUGUGAAUUCAAAUGAGACUUCAACAUGAGGAGAAUGUUGGCAACCUGCUUCAGUUGCUGUUUCUGUUUCUCCCUAUUUGCCAUUAGUCCUCCCGUCUCUUAUGCUAAGGAAUAGGUUUCUUUUGCUCAAAAGGCAAACCAAAGGCUCUGUUGCAAGUGGAUGCCUGUGCAUACUGUUACUUUUCCAAAGAUUUAAAGUUCUCUGCUGCCAGGAAAUGUACUCAGGCAGUUACAGAAUGGUAAAAUAAAGACUCUUUGUCCGUAUUACCUGUAGACUAUUAAAGAAGGAGCAGAACAUGUUACCAGGAAAAAGACCGUGAUUGUGAGUAGAUCUAUUGACUGCUCUACUUUCUUGCCAUCUCAGCAGGAAGCCUACUGUGCAGCAGUUCUUAGAUAUCCUGGCAAAACAAUCCUAUACACCAGUAUGCUCCCUGGGGAUUCAGUUGUGCCCAGACUUGGGGACAAAGGCAGAUUGCAGGCAAUUUAUUUCAUCCUUAGCCUGUUAUCUGUAUCCAUUUGUGACUGAAAGGACUGUUGAUUUAGCUCUGAGCCUCAUGUCCACUGUUGCUUGCUGGGGGAGGAGGGAUAAGCAUCAGCUGUAUCCAUGACGGCAUGGCGUGACUGCUUUGAAAAAUAAAUACUCUUGAUUAAUAACCCCUCUCAGUGGUUCUGUAACAGUACAUGAAUAAACAGUGGCAAGCAUACAAUAUAAGUUGAAGG